AAACCGUUCAGGGGUAAACCUGUGAAACCCAAAAGAUCGAAUGAGGAGAUUCAUCGUCAGCGUAUUCAGUAUUAAUGCAGGCUAUGAUGUGAUGAUAGAAUCCUCGUGGUCACUAAAUUAUACUUGCUUGUAUUAUUUUUGCUGGGUGUGUCGGCGUGCACUUCUCCUCUAGUAGAACGUCGCAACCCGUUGGAUGUUUAUCGAUGGCCUGAUUGGAACCCUU
rnacentral:rRNA from 1 species